rnacentral:snoRNA from 1 species
AAACCGUGGUAUGGGCAACAUCUCAAUAGGCCCUUGUACCUCUCCUACACAUCAUACAUGCUCUCAUCAUCAAACUGCACAAAAUAAAGAAAUAUGAUUACGCAUCU